GCUUCAGUUGUCGGAUUUUAAUAACUCAUGCAUGGAUGAAGAAUCACAAAUUUAUAAACCGACAAAAAGUUCAGUUGUAACAGGGCUAAUAGCCUCAGACACCUGUAAGGUGUAUUUGGUCAAUUGGGGGUCGGCGCCACCUCCCUCUGCGAGAUACAAAGAAUUCCGUCUGCAGUCAGGCUUUUAAAUCAUCCUUCGUGCCUUUACCGGCUAAACAGAGCCGGUGAUGCAGGUGUUCACGAGUACGAUUACGGUUUUGUAAACGUAAACAGGAUAUUGAAAAACAUUCGGGAAUUCUGAAAAUUCGUUAAAUGGCUUAUUGUACAUUCGAAGCCAGGAAUUUCAACGGUACGUUACCCUUUUGA